UACGAAGGGGGCUAGCGUUGCUCGGAAUGACUGGGCGUAAAGGGCGCGUAGGCGGAGAGCUUUGUCAGGCGUGAAAUUCCAGGGCUUAACCUUGGGGCUGCGUUUGAGACGGGUUUUCUUGAGUGGGGAAGAGGGUCGUGGAAUUCCCAGUGUAGAGGUGAAAUUCGUAGAUAUUGGGAAGAACACCGGUGGCGAAGGCGGCGACCUGGUCCUUUACUGACGCUGAGGCGCGAAAGCGUGGGGAGCAAACAGG
rnacentral:rRNA from 1 species